GGAGGGCCAUAGCUCAGUGGUAGAGCAUCUUCCUUGUAUGCAGAAAGCCCAGGGUUCAAUCCCCAACAUCUCCA